GACGAACGCUGGCGGCGUGCUUAACACAUGCAAGUCGAACGAAGUGGCGAACGGGUGAGUAAUGUAUAGCUAAUCUGCCCUACACUAGAGGACAACAGUUGGAAACGGCCGCUAAUACUCUAUAGUGUAGGAUGAGGCUAUAUUGUAUCAGCUAGUUGGUGAGGUAAUGGCUCACCAAGGCUAUGACGCAUAACUGGUCUGAGAGGAUGAUCAGUAGCACUGGAACUGAGACACCGACCCGACUCCUACGGGAGGGGGCAGUAGGGAAUAUUGCUCAAUGGGGGAAACCCUGAAGCAGCAACGCCGCGUGGAGGAUGACACUUAUCGGAGCGUAAACUCCUUUUGUUAGGGAAGCGGUACCUAACGAAUAAGCACCGGCUAACUCCGUGCCAGCAGCCGCGGUAAUUC
rnacentral:rRNA from 1 species